rnacentral:rRNA from 1 species
UGGGGAAUCUUCCGCAAUGGGCGCAAGCCUGACGGAGCAACGCCGCGUGAGUGAAGAAGGUCUUCGGAUCGUAAAGCUCUGUUGAGAGGGACGAGAGACAUAAUCAGGAAAUGGGUUAUGGAGGACGGUACCUUUCGAGGAAGCCACGGCUAACUACGUGCCAGCAGCCGCGGUAAUACGUAGGUGGCGAGCGUUGUCCGGAAUUAUUGGGCGUAAAGGGAGCGCAGGUGGGAAAGUAAGUCAGUCUUAAAAAGUUCGGGGCUCAACCCCGUGAUGGGAUUGAAACUACUUUCUUGAGUGCAGGAGAGGAAAGCGGAAUUCCUAGUGUAGCGGUGAAAUGCAUAGAUAUGACGCAGAACCCCGAUUGCGAAGGCAGCUUUCCAGCACGCGACUGACGCUGAGGCACGAAAGCGUGGGGAGCGAACAGGAUUAGAUACCCUGGUAGU